rnacentral:rRNA from 1 species
UACGAAGGGGGCUAGCGUUGUUCGGAAUUACUGGGCGUAAAGCGCGCGUAGGCGGGCUGCUAAGUCUGGCGUGAAAUCCCGGGGCUCAACCUCGGAACUGCAUUUGAAACUGGAUGCCUAGAGUCCGGGAGAGGUUGGUGGAAUUCCCAGUGUAGAGGUGAAAUGCGUAGAUAUUGGGAGGAACACCGGUGGCGAAGGCGGCGCUCUGGACCGGUACUGACGCUGAGGCGCGAAAGCUAGGGGAGCAAACGGG